AAGACACUAGUAAAAGAGUAAUUACACCGCCUUGUCAGGCGGAAGUGUGGGUUAAACCCCCGCGUGUCUUGCU
rnacentral:tRNA from 1 species